UUACAUGAUUCCCAGGUCGUCUUCUCCUCACAGUGUUUGGGCACCUGCAGAAUCUUUACUGGAUAGUGAAUUAAAGAAGCCAGCACCAAUUCUACUAUCAGUGGUAACCAGCUAAAUCCUUUUAUUUAAUUUCAGGUGUUUAUAAUGAGGUUGUUUCCCUCCUGGUGCACAUAGCUGACCAAGAUAAGGACAGAAUUGCCCUCAGGAUUGCCUCUAUAGCUAAGACCAAGCUGGCUAGUGUUGUGAGAGUUCUGCUGGAGAAACUGCAACAGGAUAAGCAAAACAGAGUAGCCAUCUACUAUAUCCUGGAGGGGGUGUUACAGCAGGACACCGGGGGCCUAGAGAUGAGGCUAGUGAAAAAAAUUAUAAGCCUAGCCUCAGAGCAGAUGAGAGAGACUCAGGAAGCAACAAAUGAGGUAAAAGUGGCAGCUAGCAACACAUUAGUGACUCUGGCAAGCUGCUAUUUUGAUGAUGUCAUGUAUGAGCUGCACUGUCACCUGAAACCACCGAAGCUGCCUGAAGAGUUUAUUUUAGUUACGCUGGGCAACCUGUCAUCAG